GAAUUUUAUAAAAAUUUAAAUAAAAAUUAAGUAAGAAGUGAAUUUAGAUUUUUAUUUGGUUGGGAGGAUAAUUAAAUUUUGUAAACUUUAAUUUUAAAAAGACAUGGAUGAAUGGUUAGUUGGGAAAGAAUGGUUGAUAAAUUUAGAAAGAAUUAAUUACCUUAGGGAUAACAGCGUGAUAUUUUUAGAGAGAUCUUAUUAAUAAAAGUGAUUGC
rnacentral:rRNA from 1 species